rnacentral:lncRNA from 1 species
UUGAUUAGGGUUUGGAUUAGGAUUUGAUUUAGUAUUUAGGAUUUAGGAUUUGGAUUAGGAUUUAGUUUAGGGUUAAGAUUUAGGAUUUGGAUCAAGAUUUGGUUUAGGAUUAGGAUUUAGGAUUUGGAUUAGGAUUUGGUUUAGGGUUAAGGAUUAGGAUUUAGGGUUUGGUUAGGAUUUUAUUUAGGGUUUAGGGUUGGAAUUAGGAUUUGGUUUAAGGUUUUUUUAGGGUUUGAUUUAGGAUUUAAGAUUUAUUAGGAUUUAAGAUUUAAUUAGUUUUGGCCUAAAAUUUGAAUGAAGUUCAAUA